AUUAAUCUUGCACCUAAAAGAAAAUAAACUAGUUUCAUUAAAAUACUUUAGUUAAAUCCAGAAACCAUCCAUGGGUUCUUAUAUGCUAAUUAGCAAGUGAUCAUACUCCACAUGGAAAAUUCAAAACCAUCAACAAGAAUGGUGGAAAGCAAAUGCAAGGAGGCUAAAAACAAAAGCACCAAAACAAAAACACACAUUCUCAACCUGCCAUAGCUUCUUUUUUCAAAAAAGUAAUCUCCUAUACUAAAAACAACUGUAAUAAAAGUAGCAUCUCCUUGAAUCCCACCAAAAUAUCCUCCACACCACCUCCUUUUCACCAACUAUAUAAGUCAUCGUUUUCACUUCCCUACUUUCAGACAGAUGUGAAUCCUCUAACUCAAUGCCUUUGUAGUUAAUUAAGUUCUCUCCCUUGUCUUCAACUUUCCUAAAACUCCUCCAAAACUCACUAAGAAAAAGCCCUUCAACUUCAAGAAAAAUGGAUAAACUAUGCAAGGCUAAAAAGCUUCAAGCUAUGAAGAGUACUCACAAGACUCAUCAGUUUCUUCACAGUAUCUUCUUUCAUGCACUUGUUGCAUUGACAUGUAGUUUACUUUGCUCCUACCCUUAUUGGUUUCCCUCUUUGUGUUACUCCAUCAAGCAAUUUCUGUUUCUAUCCCUCACAUCAACUACCUAUUCCUCCUUUUUUAGCCCCAAGUGCUUGUUUUUAGUUGUUAAUGUCAUUGUUGUCUUUCUUAUUGGAGAAUCAAUACUUGUUGGUUCACACUCAUCUCCAGCAGGUGAAAUUUAUGAUGAGUAUGUUGAGAGGAGUAGAAACCUUAGGGGAGUCCCAUCAUCAGCAACUCUUCAAGAAAAAGAGGUGGAGCUGAACUUGAAUGAAGAGAAAAGGGUUACUAUUGUUCAAGAUGAACAAGUGAAAGAAGAAAUCAAACAAGUCAUUGAAGAGACUGAAACAGAAGAAUUUCAUGAAGUUGAAGCAGAAGCUCAAGAAGAAGAAGUUCAUCAAGUUGAAACAGAAGCUCAAGAAGAAGUUGAAGCUGAAGCUGAAGCCAAAGCUAAUCAAACUGAAAUAGAAGAAGAAUAUGAGGAAGAGAAGGAAAGAGAUGGUGAAGAAGAGACUGCCUUGCCUGCUGAGGAACUAAAAAGAAGGGUUGAAGAGUUCAUUGCUAGGGUUAAUAAACAAAGGUGGCUUGAAGAAGCCAGGUUAUUAGUCUCUUUUUCGGCUUGAUCGAUUCAUAUUAAUUGUAAUUAUAUUUAUAACUAAACUAAAGGUGGGGUUAUGGAAAUUGUAUUUCUUAAUUAUUGCUAGUUAUUAAUUUUCGCAUAAUAAAUCUUGCAAGUUUUCCACUUUUUUGUGCUUUGGAAGAAAUGUAUUUUUUUGGUUUCUCUAUUCAUUAUAACAUAUUUGUAAUUUCUUUGCGUGCAAGCAACAC
rnacentral:misc_RNA from 1 species